UACGGGGGGGGCAAGCGUUGUUCGGAAUUACUGGGCGUAAAGGGCUCGUAGGGGGCCAACUAAGUCAGACGUGAAAUCCCUCGGCUUAACCGGGGAACUGCGUCUGAUACUGGAUGGCUUGAGCUCGGGAGAGGGAUGCGGAAUUCCAGGUGUAGCGGUGAAAUGCGUAGAUAUCUGGAGGAACACCGGUGGCGAAGGCGGCAUCCUGGACCGACACUGACACUGAGGAGCGAAAGCCAGGGGAGCAAACGGG
rnacentral:rRNA from 1 species